UACGGAGGGUGCGAGCGUUGUCCGGAAUCACUGGGCGUAAAGGGCGCGUAGGCGGCUCGGUAAGUAGGGGGUGAAAUCCUGCGGCUUAACCGCAGGGCUGCCUUCUAAACUGUCGAGCUCGAGCACGGUAGAGGCAGAUGGAAUUCCCGGUGUAGCGGUGGAAUGCGUAGAGAUCGGGAAGAACACCCGUGGCGAAGGCGGCUCUCUGGGACGGUACUGACGCUGAGACGCGAAAGCGUGGGGAGCGAACAGG
rnacentral:rRNA from 1 species